rnacentral:rRNA from 1 species
CAGUAGCCGCGGUAAUACGUAGGUGGCAAGCGUUGUCCGGAAUUAUUGGGCGUAAAGGGCUCGCAAGCGGUUUCUUAAGUCUGAUGUGAAAGCCCCCGGCUCAACCGGGGAGGGUCAUUGGAAACUGGGAAACUUGAGUGCAGAAGAGGAGAGUGGAAUUCCACGUGUAGCGGUGAAAUGCGUAGAGAUGUGGAGGAACACCAGUGGCGAAGGCGACUCUCUGGUCUGUAACUGACGCUGAGGAGCGAAAGCGUGGGGAGCGAACAGGAUUAGAUACCCGAGUAGUCCCUGUCUCUUAUAC